rnacentral:rRNA from 1 species
UACGUAGGGUGCAAGCGUUGUCCGGAUUUAUUGGGUUUAAAGGGUGCGUAGGCGGCCCUGUAAGUCAGUGGUGAAAUACUCCAGCUUAACUGGAGGGGUGCCAUUGAUACUGCAGGGCUUGAGUUAAGUUGAAGUUGGCGGAAUUGACGGUGUAGCGGUGAAAUGCUUAGAUAUCGUCAAGAACACCGAUAGUGAAGACAGCUAACUAAACUUUUACCGACGCUGAGGCACGAAAGUGUGGGGAUCAAACAGG